rnacentral:rRNA from 1 species
ACACGACUACAUUAGAUACCCGGGUAGUCCAGGGUGUAAACGCUGCGGGCUUGGUGUUGGGGGUCCCUUUGAGGGCGCCCAGUGCCGGAGAGAAGUUGUUAAGCCUGCUGCUUGGGGAGUACGUCCGCAAGGAUGAAACUUAAAGGAAUUGGCGGGGGAGCACCACAACGGGUGGAGCUUGCGGUUUAAUUGGAUUCAACGCCGGAAAUCUUACCGGGACCGACAGCAACAUGAAGGCCAAGCUGAAGACUUUGCCGGAUUAGCUG